GAUGAACGCUGGCGGCGUGCUUAACACAUGCAAGUCGAACGGGAAACCUAUUAUUGAAACUUCGGUUGAUUUAAUUUGUUUCUAGUGGCGGACGGGUGAGUAACGCGUGGGUAACCUGCCCUAUACAGGGGGAUAACAACCAGAAAUGGUUGCUAAUACCGCAUAAGCGCACAGGACCGCAUGGUCCAGUGUGAAAAACUCCGGUGGUAUAGGAUGGACCCGCGUUGGAUUAGCUUGUUGGUGGGGUAACGGCCCACCAAGGCGACGAUCCAUAGCCGGCCUGAGAGGGUGAACGGCCACAUUGGGACUGAGACACGGCCCAGACUCCUACGGGAGACAGCAGUGGGGAAUAUUGCACAAUGGGGGAAACCCUGAUGCAGCGACGCCGCGUGAAGGAAGAAGUAUCUCGGUAUGUAAACUUCUAUCAGCAGGGAAGAUAGUGACGGUACCUGACUAAGAAGCCC
rnacentral:rRNA from 1 species